UUGGGGAAACUAGUUAAAUCUGGGCCAUUGAUGAAUUUUACACAUCUAAUGUCAAGAUAAAGAGGAAGAGCGAUGAGACAUAAGGAUUUAGCGGCUUAUAUAUUUGGAAGAAUAAUGUGGAAGGUGUAGCAUAACAUGGCUUGGAGGAUAUUUCAUAGGGGUUCGAUGGCCUAAUUAAUGUUAUUGAUAUUUGGGUCAAUAUUUUCUUUUUAAUUUUUACCAGCUAGACUUGAACUGAAAAAGAGAGUUCCGACUGUGCUAUAAAGAGAUAAUCCUUGGUUGAGUGUAAUAAAUGGACAACGUAUUGAAAGCAAAAUUUUACCAACUUUUACCUGGUUCUGUUUUUUUGGGAUGGAAAAUCAAUAAGAAAUUGCUAGGCAUAAAUUCUUGAGAGGCCAUCUCAGUUUUCCUGUUGCGUGUGAUGUUCAUAAUUAGAAUUUUAGAGCAUGGCUUACAUCCCCUGACAAGGAGAAGCAAGAAUAUUGGGUUACAUUCAGGAGUUAAAUUAUGGUAUUUGCUUUCUAUGAUCUUUGUUACAGGUUGUAUCUUCAAAAUAAAACAGAAUUUUUCUUUAAUGAUC
rnacentral:misc_RNA from 1 species